AGACAUACCAUGCUGAAACACCAGUUCUCAUCUGAUCACAGAAGUUAAGCAACAUUGACUCUGGUUAGUACCGAGAUGGGUGAACCUUUGGAAUACCAGGU